UACGUAGGUGGCAAGCGUUGUCCGGAAUCAUUGGGCGUAAAGAGCGUGUAGGCGGCUCGAUAAGUCUGCUGUGAAAGUCCAGGGCUCAACCCUGGAAGGCCGGUGGAAACUGUCGGGCUAGAGUCCGGAAGAGGCGAGUGGAAUUCCCGGUGUAGCGGUGAAAUGCGCAGAUAUCGGGAGGAACACCAGUAGCGAAGGCGGCUCGCUGGGCCAUUCCUGACGCUGAGACGCGAAAGCUAGGGGAGCGAACAGG
rnacentral:rRNA from 1 species